rnacentral:tRNA from 1 species
CUCUUAUGGUGAAAUCAGGUAAACACGGUAGUUUCAAAAUCUAUUACUUACUUUAAGUUUGUUGGUUCGAGUCCAACUAAGAGUA